UGCCCAGCAACUCCAAUCCUUACCUCCUCGUUGUACUGGCCGGGGUACGAGUAACCUUAGGUAAGAUCGGGUAGCCAACCCUUGGUCGGAACUCUUGUCGUAUGCUAACAUGGAAUGG
rnacentral:ribozyme from 1 species